rnacentral:ncRNA from 2 species
CAAACAAUCUAAUAAUUAACUCGUAUAAUAGUGGGAAUAUGGCCUACAAGUUUCUACCAAGCUACCGUAAAUGGCUUGACUACGAGUGAUACUUUAAAUUUU